AAAAUGCUUUAACAUUUUUUGCCCUGCUUGUGUCAAAGCUACUUUAGCAGUUCUGUUUCCCACCAGGCCUGCCUGGUAGCAGGGCAGCCCAUACAAGAUGAGAUAGAUGGUCUCCAGAGCUUCUUGCAUAAGAGGCUCUCACACAAGGAUUCCAGGGACUCUGACCCAUGGUCUUAACUGCACCUUGACAACCACAAGGUACGCAUAGUAAGAUAAACUGGCCAUCCCUACUGUAGUAGAAAUGCUAUGUCGUGACCUGAACCAGUGAUUGAGCACCUGGGGGGAAGGCAGGGUCAACCCAGGGGAGCCCAAGUGAAUGCAAUGCAGAUGAAUGACUGGGAGGAUCCUGGCUCCACCCCUUCCCAGACCUCAUAUAAUGGUUGGCAGUGGAGGUGGGGGCAUCUGAUUGGGGAUCAUUUCUACCUGAAGUCUUUUGAAGCCAUGGCAUAGUUAUCCCAUGGACAUAGCAGGGAACUGCUGCCAUGUACCUUCCCUGGGACCAAGGCCAUCAACCUGCUGCGUGCUCCAACAUUGAGACAUCCACUGUGCUUCUUCCUGCCGGUUUCCAGCUGAUAGGCACCAUAUGCAUGACUCCAGCAAGCUUGCAGCCUACUGACCCGGUCAGUUAACAGCUACAGUUACAUCAGCCACAUACAAUUAGAGUUUAAGAGCAGGUGCUAUUUUUUCAGCCCCAGGGUGGACAGCUGAGUCUCACCUGACUGCUCACUGAGUGGAAGCUGUUUGUGGGACCACACUGCUAUGACACAUCUGGUUUGGGCCAUGAAAACCAACUUAAGCUGUGACUGAUGACCAUUGCAGCCCCUUUCAACUGCUUUUGAAUUUUGCUACUGUAGGAAUAAGGAGCUGAGAAGCCAAUGGUGACCUUAAUGGACAUCUGGAUUUUUGCAAGGCAUCUCAGCGCAUCUCUCCUUGCUGUGUCAGAAGUCUGCUGCUUACGCUGCUCUUAUCUUGAUUUACCAUAGCCCAGAUGCUUCCUUGUAUUCAUGCAACUGUGCAUAGAAACUGCAGAGCAACGUUUUUCAUCCCACCAGAGCUGCUGACAGCUCAACUGACUCCUGAUUUGAACUGGAACUUCCAUGUUUGGCCCAAAGCAAUACAGUGCUGCCACUCAUAGCUCAGUUGUCAGCACUGUCCUGCCUUUUGCUCUGCACGUUAAUUCCCGCUUAAGCCUUGUGGCACUUGUUUGUUUUCCCUCUAUUCUUUGCUUCUGAAUGCAUUUGCUUGUGUGGUAGGGUCAGUGUGUGGAUGUCACACAGUGACCUAUCCUGGCACAGGAGAAGGGACAGUGCCCUGUAGUCUGCCCCAGCCUUUCUGCUCCAAUUUGUUUUCCCAGCCAUAUCCCACUAGAGGAACAGCUGAUCUGAUAGCAUCCAGGUUGCUCUUCUAUCUUAGGCUUCUGUUGUGCAAAGGGUCAAACAAUUUGGGCUGAGAAAUUGUUAUUUACUGCUCAGCCGGGAUGGCAUCUUGGAGCUACCAAGCCAUCAAAUGGAGGCUCUUUCAUAAAGCCCACCUUUGGGUUCUCAUCAAGAAGCUUCAGAUUUGGGUUCUCAGGGCAAUGUAUUUGACCAAUUUGUGCUUUUUCUUCAGCAAAUCCAUACUCAUUUCACUCUCCUUUUCAAGCUUUUAAUCACAGCAUUUCAGGAAAGAUUCCUUGUGAAUACAUACAAGCACGUGUUGGCUCUGUGACUUGUUCUCAGUUGAAGUUAAUUCUGAAAAUAAUGGAGGAGCUUUAUCUGUUAAUUAAAACUAAUGACUUUAUAGAAUUGCGGAUGUGUUAAACUUGGGAAGAUUUGCAUUGGAGACCAAUAGGAGCAGAUAAUUUGCAAGUCUGAAUAAGAAAGGAAAUAGCAUUGAAAUUGAAAUGGAUAUACUCAGCUAGAUGGAAGCUGCUCCAGCUUCUAGAAGUUGCAAAGUGAAUUGAGUGUGGCCAUUAGUUCUUAGAGUACCAUGUUUACCACCGCAUUUCAGAGGGUGUGUCUGGGAAUGUUUUUAUUAUACCUUGCAAAAUGGGGAAAGGGCAUUUUCCCCUUCAAGGUAAAAUCAGAUGCAGGCUGUUGCAAUGCUUACCAUGUUUUCUUCCAAACUGCUUCCAGAUUGAGCCUACUCAUUUUGCAAACAUAAGGUGUCCAGCUGGAUGCUUCAUGCUUAUCACUCCCCUGCCAGCAAUAGAAGCUCUGUUACCUUUAAUGUCACACCCAGCUGUGGAGAACUACAUUGAGCCCCCCCCAGCACAGAAAUUGUUGGUCCUCUGAGGAGCAGUUGGGAAUGACAGCACUCAUUCUCACUGGGACUUUGAUGGAGUGAGAUGCCAGUUCCAAGAAUGCAUUCAGGGAGCUGCACACAGUCCCUGAACUACCUGCAAGACCCUUUGCAGAUGGGUGAAGUGCAGCAACCAGAGCAGCAGCCAAACAUUCUGCUGUGAAAGGCAGUGGGUUCACCAUUGCUGGGGAUUUGGAAGGGUGGCAGAGCUGUACCAGGCAGAGCUCUCACUGUUGGUGGGGUGAUAUGACAUUCAAAGGCCAACCCAUGUCCAAGGAGAAUCAAGAAACCCACCACCAACUCCUGAGUCUCUUACGUACCCUGUCUGCCAGUGGCUCAGGGAGAGAAUGGGAUGAUACAGCUGCUGCAAUUGGAGACCACUUCCAAGGGACCAUUCAAAACUAUCUUGAGCAAAGUGAGGAGAAAACAAACACAGCAGUCUCUGACAGCAAGAAAGCGUUGCAAAAUGUCAAUUAUCUGCUCACUACAGCUGCUGUGGAUGUCCUCCAGCAAUCCACAGCAGAGAAAAUAACGGCAGCAAUACAGAGAGCAAAAAGCUCCUGGAAAGGGUACCUUUCUGCAUAAAAAUCAGAUGACUGAAGUGUGGAUUCUGGACCAAAUUCUUGACGGCAGCUGAAGACGAUGUGCAUGGGGAGGUAUGAAAUGAGCACUGUAUUUGCUGAAACGACUAGGGAGGAAGGAUGCUGUGGUGUCUGUUAAUUCAGCAGCUGAACUUCUGCCUGGCUCUCAGAGCCAUCUGGGGCUUUCACUCAUGGGUUUAUCUUCUUUCACUUCUCCAAACCCGCUGUAACUCCUGAUUUCUUGACACCAUGUGCAGUUUCUCUUCCAGUUUAUUGCCCUGGGUGACAUCGCUUGUUAUUUUGUCACUCCUUGCCAUCCUUUUAUCACACUGUCUUAUUAAGAGAGAAGCGUUUGCAUGGAUUAGUCAGGGAAGCAUCCUCAGUUGAGCUAACACACACAAGAGGUGGUAAAUAUUGACUCUUAUUGCUGUAAACUUGUCAUGCCACCAGCUGCAUGGGAGAGGAGUGAUCGCUGCAUUGCUGAGGCUGAUGACAUCUUGGCUGACCUGGAGUUCAGGUUUAUGUAUUGAAGGGUGCACAGUAGUCACAGCUCCUGUCUUCUGCCUCCAGCUGGGCAGUGCCCUCCCUCAGUCCUGCCCCAAACACUCAGCCAGGUGUCCCAAACUGUAGGCUCAGGGCUGGGCAGCAGCUGCUGGAUGCCGACAAGGAGCUGGCUGGCACCACACUUUGGCUCUGCUUCUUAUUUCCAGCUUGCUUCUUCAAUUAGAAGUAGCUAAAUAUACACAAGUGCUUUCCCAGUACAAUUUUCCAUGUAUGCAAGAGAAGAGGGGAUGCUAUGCAGGCAUGAAGGAGAGGUGUAUUUCUUGUCCUCUACUGAGGAGCGAGGGGAGAAAGGUCUGGAUGAAAUGAAUUUCCUUCCAGACACAGCCACUGCUACAAGGAGCUCUUUGAGGAUCAGUCAGCCUUUUUUCUGCGUGGUUGGAACAGAAGUGGCAGGUAUCCAGACAAACAAAUAGUGGAGUGCGGGAGAUCCCAGCAUAGUAUGGCCCAGAAGCCCAUUUCUCCAUCCUGUCUGCUUCACAACACACAGUCAAACUCACUUCAGUAAUGCUCCUAAGAAGGCCAGAGUUGUCUCCUAAAAAGCAGAAGGGUUGUCCAGGUAACUGCUUCACAUCAAAGGCUUCUGUGAAGCUCAUCCUGAAGACUGACCUACCUGUAGUGUCCUUCCAGGAUUCACUGCAGCUCAUCUAUGCCAGCUUUUCAUCAGCCCUGCUGUGAAACCUACAUUCUCCCCUUAUGGUCCCAGGACAAACUCAGACAUGUUUUGAUGAUUGAGGUGUGUGUUGACUGUGUGUGAUUUGGUUUAUCAUCCAACCUGUCAGCAGAAGCGUUCACUUGAGAGCAGAUGUUUCAAGUACUUUCUCCUUCUGAGAGCUAAAAAGGAAAUAAAAAGCCUUAGGCACUGGGUAGAAAUAGAAGGUACAAAACCUCCUUCCUAGGCAACUUCACAGGAAACAGCAGAAGAAAAUAGAAAAGCACAAGUCAUGUUGUUCAAGCACGGAAGUUGUGCAGGAAAGCUGCUGGCCUCACUGGUUGUAUUGAGAAAACUCUGCAGAUGGAAAUACUCUGGUGCCUGCAUGUCUCAGCUUCUCAAUGUGCAGGCACGUGGCAGGGAGACCUUCCUCUGUCUUCAGCUCCACAGACCAGCUGCUGGUUGUGCACCACUGUAAACCAGUGAAACUGGGAUGGUGCGAUGAGUUGGAGGUUUGUUAGUGUUCCAACCUGGAGGAAAGGAGAUGGCCCCUUCCAGAAUGGUUAGGAGAUGGAAAGAUAUCAAAUGCUCCCCCCAGAAUAGCAGCUAUUCCAUAGCACGGGGCUUGGAGGCACAGUUUGGAUAAAUGCAGAAGGGAAUGGCAGCAUACAGUGAAUUGCCUGAUGCCAAGUGGAAUUUUUCCAGCCAUGUUCGAGGAACUUGGGUCCAAGUCCUGCUUUGAAGGCCUCAGGUCAGAGGCUAUAUAUAAACCAUGCUGAAUUUGCUGGCAGCUAGGAUGGGUUUGACAGUGCCCAACACCUCCCUGUCCCAUCAUCCUCUCUCAGAUAAGUUUCUUUAAAGGCCUGAGAGUGCUUUCUGGUACAAAGGUGAGGAUAAGAUGCUUCUUCUGUCUGCAAGUAAGGAACAUGUAGUUUGGGACAGGUGAAAUGUACUCCCAUCUUGCAGUGGAUGCCACAUUUGCUGACACCAAGAAAGUUCAUGGGCUCUGGGGGUGCCUCUGGGCAGCUGUCCCAGACACCUUUAUCCUAUUCCUCAGACAGCCUAAAAUGUUUCUAUCUUAGUUCCCUUCCCAAGCACCAGGCCAGCCCAGGAGGAAAGAACAGCCCUGGUUGCAUGCCUCUAUCUCUCCUGAAAGAGAGCCAUCCCAUCGACACCAUGAUCAUCAGCCACCAGCAGAGCAGCCCCAUGCAAGUGCUCCUGAAUAUCACAACCCAGCCCCAGACCUACAUGAAAACUUUAUUUCCUGGCCUGACUUCAAGCUAUAAGAUGCACAGGCAGCCACGUCGGGAUGUAAAAGGCUGGCUGGAUUACUCAGACUUUGAGCACCAUCUCCUGUCCUGUUGGCUCAGCUCCAUCAGCGUACCAGCACACAUUGCCUGCAGUCAACAAGCAGCAGAGAUACAAGGGCUGGGGCUGCUGACCCUGGUCUACAACCCUCCACAUCCUUAUGGGGCAGUACCAUCAUUUCUAAGCCAUGAUAAAGAGCCCUCAGGAUUUUCUUAGCACCAGAUCCUCUUCACACAGGGGUCAGAACAGAGGGUGGAAGCAGAGGGAAGCUGCCUAGGUUCAUUCUGGAGUUCGCAUCAUCCUGACAGCCAGUUCUUCUCCCAGCUCUGAAGUUUUGUCUCAUCAGUAACGGAGGCCAGUGCUGCUUUCUAUGAGGAGCUUGUAAUUACUCGGCCUCUCGGGAGCUGCAGCGUUUAUCGCAUUAGUAACAGCUUCAGCACUGAGGCAUUUUCCCGGAGCUAAAUGCCGUUCAGCUGUAACACAACGCUCAGCUUUGGCGGGGGUCAGAUUUGACGUCAAUGACACAUACUGGCUCCAGUUCUGGGUGACAUUGAUGCCCGGGCACCCUCCUGCCCUCACCUUCUGUGCACGACAUGGUCCCAGGAAAGAGUUGGAGCUGCACUCAGACCCAUGUGCAGCUGCCACCUCCCUGCCCCAUGCUCCAUCUCCCCAGAGACAUCCAAUCAUCGUCAGCUGGUGACUGUGCCCAAGUUCACAUCCCCUCUCUGCUCCACACCCAUGCCACUGGAACCACAGAGCUGCUGAUCCCCAGCAAAAAGGAAGAGAACACAGCCAGGCUUGUGCCAUGGGGGACAGCCUGGGCCUGCGUCAGCCUUUGUGCAGCGUGUUCCUCGUGUAAACACAUUUCUGUCUGUGUGGAUGCAGGCUCAGUAACACCACCAGUUGCUCCAGCUAAUGUGACGCCAUCCACUGAGGCCUGCAGACCUGAUUCCUCCCUGGGGUUGGACUGGGAGCAGCUGCAGUGUCAGCACUUGGAGCUGAAGGCUGCUUGAGAGCCUUAUCCUCAGAAACCUGCAUCCCACCCGCAUCCCCCACAGGAGGAAUGUGGGUUAAUUUCCUGACCCAAUGUAGCUCCUUCUGAGCUAAGGCAUUCCCCAUGUUUUCAGCCUCAUUCAGGUACCAGCCAGGCUUUCUGUAUGGAUUCCUCGUAACUUCAUCCUCUAAAAGGUUCGAUAUUGUAUAUGGCCUCAAAAUAGCUCUGUAAGAGCAUCACCAGUCCAGGCUGUGCUUUCUUCCCUGCCCAAGAUGGGUGUUUCUGAUGGAUGAGGGCAGGACUGCUGCUUCCCACUGGCCUCACCAACACAUUCCUUGCAACUAAACUUCGGCUUGGCCACCCAGAAAGUUUCUCACUAUGGACACUGCUUCACAGGGAUACUGGGCUGGAUGUGGCUCAAAGGGUCUGUAUAUCUUACCAUGGAUUGUCACAGGCUGUCAGCCUAUUUUUCAAACGCAGCCUUGAUAAAGGUCUCCAUUUCCAGCAGCCUGACUCAGCUGCUGACCCUUUAGGAGGAGGAAUCAAAGCCUUCAGCAGCAUCUCCCACAGCCAUCUCUAAAGGCAAGGACAGAGCAAAGAUGGGAGACUUUAUCUCAGCUGGCUUGUGGACUUGAUGGAACACUCUCUUGCCAUGCCAAAGGAGUCCUUGCCUUGUAGCAUUUCCUUUAGUAGUACUGAACACUUCAGUGCUUCCAGUACAUCUCUGAUCCUCUCACUCCCUCAAAUGGAAAGGAGAAAACACAACCCACAGUGCCUUUAUGAAACAAAAUAUCACAAUAUAUAAAGAUGAUGAAGUUA